UACAGAGGUCUCAAGCGUUGUUCGGAUUCAUUGGGCGUAAAGGGCGCGUAGGUUGCGGGGCAAGUCGGGUGUGAAAUCUCAGAGCUCAACUCUGAAACUGCACUCGAUACUGCUUUGCUCGAGGACUGGAGAGGAGAUUGGAAUUCACGGUGUAGCAGUGAAAUGCGUAGAUAUCGUGAGGAAGACCAGUGGCGAAGGCGGAUCUCUGGACAGUUCCUGACGCUGAGGCGCGAAGGCCAGGGGAGCAAACGGG
rnacentral:rRNA from 1 species